rnacentral:tRNA from 1 species
CAUUGGAUAGCUCAAUCGGUAGAGCAACUGACUCAUCAUCAGCAUGUCGCGGGUUCGAUUCCCGCUCCAAACU